GCGUUGUUCGGAAUUACUGGGCGUAAAGCGCACGUAGGCGGAUCGGAAAGUUGGGGGUGAAAUCCCGGGGCUCAACCCUGGAACUGCCUCCAAAACUAUCGGUCUAGAGUUCGAGAGAGGUGAGUGGAAUUCCGAGUGUAGAGGUGAAAUUCGUAGAUAUUCGGAGGAACACCAGUGGCGAAGGCGGCUCACUGGCUCGAUACUGACGCUGAGGUGCGAAAGUGUGGGGAGCAAACAGGAUUAGAUACCCUGGUAGUCCACGCCGUAAACGAUGACAACUAGCUGUUGGGAGACAAUGUCUCUCAGUGGCGCAGCUAACGUUUUAAGUUGUCCGCCUGGGGAGUACGGCCGCAAGGCUAAAACUCAAAUGAAUUGACGGGGACCCGCACAAGCGGUGGAGCAUGUGGUUUAAUUCGAUGCAACGCGAAAAACCUUACCUACUCUUGACAUACUUGGAAGCUCUUGUAAUGACGAGUGUGCCUUAUGGAACCAAGAUACAGGUGCUGCAUGGCU
rnacentral:rRNA from 1 species